AAAGAAAAAAGAAAACUAGAAAUGAUCACAGUGAAUGAGGCAAGGGCAUCAAAAGUCGAGGGAGCCUGAAAACGAGAUGUGCACACCAGUUAGCCAAGGAGUGAAUGUACAAUGAAACUGUUGAAGGAAGUUCAAACUUCUCUUGCAGUGGAUACAUGAAUGGAAAAGGACAAAUAGCUCCUGUCUAAUGUGGAGGAAGUUGCAGUACUCAAACCAGCCAUGAGAAUCCUGAAAGUCAAUGUCCAGACCAGUUAAAGUUAAGACUUUAACUAUUGUCACCUCUAUGAAGCCGGCAGAGCAGAGGCUGCUACAGAAGUGAGGUUACAUCAGAAGGUUGAAGAAUGAAGUUGUCUAUGUAACAUGAAGGCUAAAAUGGGUGAAGCAGCACCUGUUUGUGUGGGAGCUGCAGUAAGCUGCUGGAGGUGACCGCAUUAAGUCAACGGUCUUUUGUGAAGACGAACCAGUGUCAUGUUGGAAGAUGAUGCCUUCUGGAACUUUCCUAGCUGCUGAGAAACCCAUGCCUAAAUUCAAGGAUUGUUAAAAAGUUCCUGACUUCUGAGCAAUUGUAUUGUAAGACAUGACUGAAGAGAAAAGAUUACUCAGAAUACCCUCGAUCAAGAGUUCACACUUACCCAAGCCUGCAGCAGCCAUCAUUUUGCUUUCCAUCUUUACGAAUCUGAGAGUUCUAGAUAACUUGCAAAAGAGGAAGCAGUAACCAUGACUUAUUGGUGUUAAUUUAACAUGGUAAGUUUGCAAUGCUUGUUACAGACAGGCAAGGAACUAACACACCCAUUACACUUUGUUUGGAUCAGGUCAUAGGUCAUUCUAAUUGUUAGAGCUAGUCUACUGGGCUCCGUGGCUCCUUUGUUCUCACCACACUCAAGACUAACUGUAACAUUUUCUUUCUUUGACUUACUUAUUUUUGAAGGGCAAACUCUUACUUUGUAAGUAGGUAAUAUGAAUACAUAGUUCACAAUUGUCGGCCCAUAUUUCUAUAUGAUAUGGCAGCCAGGUUAUCAAGCCAUAGGCCCCACCUGAGGGUGUCAUGUAACCUUUCAGACAGACUGUCACUACCUAACAAAAGGUCAGGAUGUUGGUUUGCUCCUUUCUUUGUAAUUUGGAGGGUGCCUGAUAGAGAUGCUGAUUCAAACCUACGUGACAGCUAGCAUACACAGCAGACAGGUAGUUGUGGAUGUGACUAAAAGCCAUUCACCUGGUUACCUAGGAGACAGAAUGCUAAUGUAUUUAUCCCUCAGUUAAGUUUUGGUACGAAGACUGCUUGGAGAAUAAACGAGAGGAAUUCUUCAGGAUGUGAACUCGGGACAUCAUGAGGGAUCACUGAGAAUCUCCCUCCCAAUAAAGCCGUGUGAGUUGUGUCUUUAUUCCUGCGCCUCCACGCCGGUUCAGAGAGACAGUUUAUGUUGGGGUCUGGUGGAGAGA